rnacentral:rRNA from 1 species
AGCGAACGUUAGCGGCGGGCUUAACACAUGCAAGUCGAGCGAGAAAAGUCCCUUCGGGGGCUGAGUAAAGCGGCGGACGGGUGCGUAACACGUAGGUAAUCUACCCUCGGGCGGGGGAUAACGUUCCGAAAGGAAUGCUAAUACCGCAUAAGACCACGCUCACUACGGUGAGGGUGGGAAAAGAUGGCCACUCCAUGGAAGCUAUCACCUGAGGAUGAGCCUGCGGCCCAUCAGCUUGUUGGUGAGGUAACGGCUCACCAAGGCACAGACGGGUAGCUGGUCUGAGAGGAUGAUCAGCCACACUGGCACUGGAACACGGGCCAG